rnacentral:rRNA from 1 species
UACAGAGGUCUCAAGCGUUGUUCGGAUUCAUUGGGCGUAAAGGGUGCGUAGGUGGCAUGGUAAGUCGGAUGUGAAAUCCCGGGGCUCAACCCCGGAACUGCAUUCGAUACUGCUGCGCUAGAGUACUGGAGAGGAGAUUGGAAUUUACGGUGUAGCAGUGAAAUGCGUAGAUAUCGAGAGGAACACCUGCGGCGAAGGCGGGUUGCUGGGCUGACACUGACGCUGAAGCGCGAAAGCUAGGGGAGCGAACGGG